GGACGGGUGAGUAAUGUCUGGGAAACUGCCUGAUGGAGGGGGAUAACUACUGGAAACGGUAGCAAUACCGCAUAACGUCGCAAGACCAAAGAGGGGGACCUUCGGGCCUCUUGCCAUCGGAUGUGCCCAGAUGGGAUUAGCUAGUAGGUGGGGUAACGGCUCACCUAGGCGACGAUCCCUAGCUGGUCUGAGAGGAUGACCAGCCACACUGGAACUGAGACACGGUCCAG
rnacentral:rRNA from 1 species